rnacentral:rRNA from 1 species
GACGAACCGUACGAACGUUAUUCGGAAUUACUGGGCUUAAAGGGUGCGUAGGCUGCACGGAAAGUUGGGUGUGAAAGCCCUCAGCUCAACUGAGGAAUUGCAUCCAAAACUGCCGUGCUUGAGGGAGACAGAGGUGAGCGGAACUCAAGGUGGAGCGGUGAAAUGCGUUGAUAUCUUGAGGAACACCGGUGGCGAAAGCGGCUCACUGGGUCUCUUCUGACGCUGAGGCACGAAAGCUAAGGUAGCAAAC